rnacentral:rRNA from 1 species
AAUGAACGCUGGCGGCGUGCCUAACACAUGCAAGUCGAACGAGAAACCCUGGGCUUGCUCGGGGGAGUAAAGUGGCGCACGGGUGAGUAACGCGUGGGUAACCUACCUCUGAAUCUGGAAUAACUUCGCGAAAGCGUUGCUAAUACCGGAUACUGUCCCUGGAGCCGUGGCUCCUGGGAUUAAAGGUGACCUCUUCCUGAAAGUUGCCGUUUAGUGAUGGGCCCGCGUACCAUUAGCUAGUUGGUAGGGUAAUGGCCUACCAAGGAGACGAUGGUUAGCUGGUCUGAGAGGAUGACCAGUCACACUGGCACUGAAACACGGGCCAGACUCCUACGGGAGGCAGCAGUGAGGAAUUUUGCGCAAUGGGGGAAACCCUGACGCAGCAACGCCGCGUGAGCGAAGAAGGCCUUCGGGUCGUAAAGCUCUGUCUAGUGGGAAAAAAGUCUUCUGGUGAAUAGCCUGAAGAGCUGAUGGUACCGCUGGAGGAAGCACCGGCUAACUCCGUGCCAGCCGCCGCGGUAAUAC